UACGGAGGGGGCUAGCGUUGUUCGGAAUUACUGGGCGUAAAGCGCGCGUAGGCGGCUCGGAAAGUCGGUCGUGAAAUGCCGGGGCUCAACCCCGGGACUGCGUCCGAUACUCCCGAGCUGGAGGCAGGUAGGGGAGAUCGGAAUUCCUGGUGUAGCGGUGAAAUGCGCAGAUAUCAGGAGGAACACCGGUGGCGAAGGCGGUUCUCUGGGCAUUACCUGACGCUGAGGAGCGAAAGUGUGGGGAGCGAACAGG
rnacentral:rRNA from 1 species